GGGGGUGUAGCACAGUGGUAGAGCUUUUGACUGCAGAUCAAGAGGUCCUUGGUUCAAAGCCAAGCGCUCCCU
rnacentral:tRNA from 1 species